UCCCUCCAACCAUUUCAAGAAUCAUCAUUCCAUAGCUGUACACAUCAGAUUUAUGGGACACUUGUCCGAAAUUUCUACUAGUAACUUCGGGAGCAAUAUAACCAAUGGUUCCUCUAGGUUGCAGUAAAGAUGAGACUGCACUUUCGUUUGUGGUGUAUAAUUUUGCAAGCCCAAAAUCAGAUAUCUUCGGGCAAAAAUCUUUGUCAAGAAGAAUGUUAUGUGGCUUUAUAUCAAAAUGCAGGAUACGAGUGUUGCAGCCUCGGUGUAGGUACUCCAGUCCCCGGGCAAUACCUAUUGCAAUCCUCAACAAUUUCUCCCAUCCAAGAUGUUGUCCUUCCAACAAAGGAUUUGUACCAUAAAUAAACUUUUCCAGAGAUCCAUUAGGCAUGAACUCAUAUAUAAGAGCUCGUCGUUUACCUUCAUAACAAAAGCCAAGGAGAGUGACGACAUUAACAUGAGAAGUCCUACCAAUGCUUGCAACUUCAUUAAUGAAUUCUUCUCCAUUUCCUUUUGUUGCAUUCAAGACCUUCACUGCCACGUCACGUCCAUCUGAUAAGCGGCCUCGAUAUACAGUUCCAUAGCCCCCUUUACCUAAUUCAUCCUUGAACGAAUUUGUUACUUUUUUUANUUCUGCAGAAAUUUCAUUUGCCAUAUUUAGCACAUCAUCAAAUUGGAGUCGCUUGUACAGCCAACGUGGAUAAUAUAUCUCACUAGUGUGAUCUGCACCGGCAUUAACAUUCUUUCUCCCUCCAACCAUUUCAAGAAUCAUCAUUCCAUAGCUGUACACAUCAGAUUUAUGGGACACUUGUCCGAAAUUUCUACUAGUAACUUCGGGAGCAAUAUAACCAAUGGUUCCUCUAGGUUGCAGUAAAGAUGAGACUGCACUUUCGUUUGUGGUGUAUAAUUUUGCAAGCCCAAAAUCAGAUAUCUUCGGGCAAAAAUCUUUGUCAAGAAGAAUGUUAUGUGGCUUUAUAUCAAAAUGCAGGAUACGAGUGUUGCAGCCUCGGUGUAGGUACUCCAGUCCCCGGGCAAUACCUAUUGCAAUCCUCAACAAUUUCUCCCAUCCAAGAUGUUGUCCUUCCAACAAAGGAUUUGUACCAUAAAUAAACUUUUCCAGAGAUCCAUUAGGCAUGAACUCAUAUAUAAGAGCUCGUCGUUUACCUUCAUAACAAAAGCCAAGGAGAGUGACGACAUUAACAUGAGAAGUCCUACCAAUGCUUGCAACUUCAUUAAUGAAUUCUUCUCCAUUUCCUUUUGUUGCAUUCAAGACCUUCACUGCCACGUCACGUCCAUCUGAUAAGCGGCCUCGAUAUACAGUUCCAUAGCCCCCUUUACCUAAUUCAUCCUUGAACGAAUUUGUUACUUUUUUUAAUGUAGAGUAUCUAAAUCUUCUGGGAAUGGAGGAUCCAUAUUGCUUUAUGAAGGCAUCAACAUCUUUCGGAAAAGAAGACACAUUUUUAGAGAACAAAAAUGAACCCUGUUUGGUUUUCUUCCGGCAGCAGAAGAUGACGAGAACCGAUAGCAGAAGUAUGGUACCUCCUAAUACACCAACAGCUGCAGAUAAAAAGUCUGAGAUUCCUAAAAUCUACACGGUUUACCAUAUACAUACACAAAGAUUGAAGAAUCACCGAUUAAGAGAUUAAAAUGUCAGAGGAAAGGGCACAUUACCUGCGCCAAUCAUAAGUCCCUUACUCUUUUUGCUUCCUGUCAACAAUGUGAGCUGAAUCAGCAUUUAUAUAUAAACCAGGUGUUUGUAAUAGAUAAUAUUAUCAUUGAAUUUCGCAGUAUAGAACACGUAAUUAGAUAAAAUCAGGGGAAUGGGGAAAGUACUGAGCUUCCUAAAUUAAAAGGAAAUGAGUACAUAUUGCAAGUAUAGUGUUUAUAAAUAGGACUUCCCGUUUGGCUAUAAAAAGAAAGGAAAAAGGAAAAGAACAAUGGACCGUCAAGACCUUGUACGAAUCAAGAGCGUGUGUGAGGCAUAAUUGCACUGAUUAUCCAUCGCAAAAUAAAUACAAGGAAAACUUAUUUGAUCUGGCCAGAGUUGAUUGUUACUAUUCGAAAACAUACUUGUCUAUCGCGUGGUUUUGGCUUUUUGAUGCCUAGGAGUCCUUGAAAUGAGAUUAUAAGCUAAAUAUAUGUGUGCGCUUUCUCAUUGUGAUCAUAAAACUUAAAACAGAGUAUAUUCUGGUUGAGCAGACCUGAUUGUUGUUGAUAUGGCAGACCUGAUUGUCGUGGAUAGAGGCAUAAGUCAUUGCUACCUACAUAUGUGUCUUUCCAACACACUCCAUCAUGUUGAUUACAGUCUUUGCAAACUUGUUGGUUUUCUUCAUUAUUAUAGUGAACCUCAAAGCUUCCCUCGAAAAGCUUUUCUGCUGUUCGCUGUGCUGGGUUCGGGUCCCAUGUGAAAUCUUCAAGCAACCUCAUAUUAACCGGAAGCCUUGUGUAAUGACACGAGCUAAGUUUUUCUUGAGCUUCCGCAAAUAAAUCAUUUCGGAAAAAAUAAAUUGGGUCUUGAUUCGAGCAACUGAAAUUUGCCUUCAUCGAGGUUGUUUGAGCAGGAUCACUACAAUUGUACAACAAGUAGAUAAUUUCGGAGUUUUCGCGGGAGGAGAGCAGCGGAUGAUUAUGUUCUGUAUCUUGAUUUGAGCUGGAACUUGCAUCACAGAUAGACUUGAGAGGAUUAUCCAAAAUUUUUAAAUCUAUCGUAUGUUUAAACAGGUCGAUGGCCUGUACAUUAUACUUGAUAUUGGAAGCUAAAUCUACAACUAGGCCGUCGUCUUCGCAGCUGAGCUUAUAUCCUUCAAGACCACAAUACGAAGGUCGAAUCUCAUCAUCAACCCAGAAAGGGUAAUCAACUCUCCAUUCUAAUUGUGUGCCACAUGGAGAAGUAGUUGGCUUACUACAGUUGCUGUACAUGUCAGGAUCAACUUUAGCAUGAUGUCUAUGAAGACUGAUAAUGAAAGGAUCCAGAUGAUUAUACUGAUGGGUUUUGAAAAAGAUUGGUGAGGUCUAAAGAGUAUAGCAUGCAUUAUACUGAGUUUAUGAAGACAAGUCUGUUGUACAGAGAAGCAAGAGUGAAUAGCACUAUAGCAUAGAGAUGCAAACAUUUUCACAAGCUAAUAAAAGUCUGUGAAAAUAAAAAGGGGGAUGAAUACUUUGUGAUAGACUAAAAUACAAAUGUUCAACGCAAGUGUUAAGAAUUUUCAUCCAUAAGGUGUGGAAAAUAUGAGGGGAGGACCUUGUUUACACUUUCACUAUCAAUUCAUCUACAAGAAAUUUCGUGCAUUAUAUUAACGCGCCCGAGUCAAGACUCAAGAGUACGAAGCAUUCUUCAGUGAUUUUUACGUUCAUUAUGGUAUAUAUAUAUUUUCAGUAUCGAUGUAUCGAUAUCAAAGAUUAAUAUAUAAGGUAAAAUUUAAUGGAAACCAUAUAGCUGAUUCAUGGGAGACUUCUAACAACUUAAAAGUCUCCGCAAUUCGUUGUUUGUCACGGCUACAAGCAGGAAACCAUACAUACAACUUUUGUGUGAUUUCUUCCGUUAACUUGAUAGUCCUCUUCCCUCUCGUCACUUGAUAGUCCUGAUCAUAAUUCAUCAAACUACUUUAUAUCUAGCAAGAUUUCUAUAAUGAUUUAAUAAACAUACAAAAUUCAAAUGGUUACCUAUGACUAAGGAUAAAAAUAUCAAAUACUAACAAAUUAUUUUUUUUUUUGACGAAAUACUAACAAAUUAUUAAUUAUCCUUGUCCUUAGCAACCAAAGGUAGAGAGUUUACUCUGAUAUGUGCGCACGAGUGCUUAAUUUUUAGUAAUCGGCCUUAGCAAAACGAAAAGAUAUAAUCCUGAUCAAAUUCAUGCCUAAUAUCCAAAAAAUGUAUAGAUUCCUAGGCAAAAGAAUUAGCGGAACAUAAGGUGCUCAUAUAGUUGACAAUGUAAAGGUACAUAAAGAAGGUUUUGCACGAGGAUGUGAUUCGGAGAUCCAUCUGAGGUGAAACAAAAUAGAAUGCUAAAUAUAUGGCAGAGGAAACAGAGGACCUGGAGGAGAAGCCUUGAGACAUAGUUGUAAUAAUACUUAACCUGGUCUGGAACUAGAGAUCAUUUAUCAAUAAAAGAGUCUACCGAGGUCUGAGGAUUCACGUAUAUGCUGAAAUAGAACCUUAAGGGUCCUCGUAUGAGAGUAGCAUCUCUUCAUCUAGAAGAGAUCCUAAGCUAUAUUUAACAAUUCAAUACCAAUAUAAAAAUAAAGUAAAUAAUUUUUGCGCACCUGGUCGUCGAUAUGCAUAUGGAGGGAGAGCCGUUCCAUUGCUAUAUAGGCAUGUGUUAUCUGUACUAUUUGUGCCUCUCCAACACAAUCCUUCCGUUUGCUUACAGUCUACGCAUGCUCUUUCGUUAAUUCUGUUGUAGUGAACUUCAAAGCUCCUAUUAUAAAGUGUUUCCGGCUCUAUUACAUUAUUUUUCAAGUCGUCAAACACCCUCUUAUCAACUUGAAUUGUUGUGUUAGUGCACGACACAAGCUUGUAGUCUUCAACUAAUUCAAAUGAAUUCCCUCGAAAGAAAUAAACUCGCGUCUUACUGUCACCCUUGCAAGUGAAUGUAUAGUCGAGCCAGAGUGAGUCAAUCUCAUCGGCACAAUUGUAGGAUAAGUUGAGAUCUUCACUAUAAUCUGUGUAAUCAUAUAGUGUUGCAUUCAAUACGGUACUCCUAGGCUCACCAGAUGCACAAAUACUCCCCAACGGAUCAUCAGAACGAUUUAACGUUAACACACCUCUUGCAGAAUUGAUAUCAACUACAUGAAACUUGCUACGUGAACCAAUGUCUACAACAAGAUCAUUGUUUUCACAAUGAAGUUCAAAUCCAUCAAGACCACAAUAAGCAGGUCGUAAACUUUUUCCCCAGAAAGGGUAUUCAGGAUUGUUGAAUGUCCUAUCGCCGCAUCUAAUAGCAGUAGUGCUACUACAGUCCGAGUAUUAAUUAAAAUUUGUAAAUUGAGCAAGACAGGUUGGGAAGUUGAUGAGUAAAACAUGAAAUGAGAUGAUAAAACUGAUGGGGUUUGAAUAAUACUUUUGAGGUUUAAGGAGCUGAGCAUACAUCAUGCAAGAGUUUCGAAAAUAAAAACCCAAGAAAUGGCAGAAAUUACUUUGAAAUGAAAGAGAAGAUUUGUAUGUUGUUGCAAAAAUUAACGGAAUAAACUAUAUAUGGAUUUCAAAACUAAAGAAUAAUGACGUUCAAUUUCAUGCGGGGAAUUUUCAACACAAAGUCCAUGGAAAAAAAGAUAAGGGUGGAAGACUUUGUAAUGGAGUUGAAUAAGAAUAUUCAACACAAAGAAGUGUUGGGAAUUUUCGCUGAGUACUACAUUAGAGUAAGUUCAAAAUAUCUUAGUUAAAAUAUUAAAAUAUUAGGAGUCGGGCUUCUCGGACACUUAUUCUUUUGGAGUUUUUGGAGACGUUGUCCACAACCCUUAGAUUAGAUCCAAAUUGAACCGUUGAUUUGCAGUACAUGUGGUUUAUACUUUUUAUCAUCAAAGUAUAUCAUAGUAAUAAUCGUAUACGUGAGAUACUAAUCCCGAAGAUUUCGACAGUUACCAGUGCAGUGUUUUCCUAAACUUUCUCCCCUUAAUCAAUGCCAAAUCCUUGAGAGAUAGUUAUUGGAUCGCGAAAGAACUACGAAACUACUACGGAACAACUGAAGACGAAAUUUAGAAACUCCCACAUCUCACGCAUUGCUGAGAAACGAGUAUAAUAAGUUCAGGAGAGAUCAAAAUGGUAGUGAAAAAUAUUUUAUCUGGCCGUGCUAGUUUCAAUGCGUUUUGCGACAUAGCAUGAAGCUCUUCUACUUUUGGACCAAACUACUGGGAGAUAAAUAGAGCUAUCUGUUUUGAGGAUUUUGAAAAUUUCCCACAUCCAUCUCCACCAGGUAUGGUAUGUUGCCAACUUCCUGCAACACAAGCAUAUUACUGAGGAUGGGGGGCCAUUAUAAAAUGAAUACAUGGACAACAUAUUAGUAUACAACUACUUGUAUAAUUUGAUUUGAGUUUAAGUCCCCAUCCCCAUGAAUUUCAUGAAUUUGCACUGAUGGAUAGUGUAGUGUACUUGGAUGUUCAAGUGAUUCAGGAGAAUCAGCUAUCAAGGUUUGAUUCUCCAACAUGAAAACCGUUUCAUUUGAUUCCAUUGAUCGAACUCGUAAGUUGUUCCAUAUUACCAUAUAAACUUUAUGGUAACUCCACAACGCACAUCGACCAGAAAGACAAUCAAAGAAUAUAUUCGUAAACUGUGUUCAAGUUUUUUCUAGAGUAACAUUCUGCGCCAUUUUUAGUUCUUUUGUUGCUCAAUUAAUAAUACUAAUUACAAGAAACUGCAUACUGAUGACAACAGAUAUUCUAAACAAUCAUUUGAAUGAAAGUUGCACUCAAAUUCCAGAAGUUCACAACAAUAAGGUGAAUUAUCUAUGCAAGAACAGAAGAACCGAAACUUUUUAUCAUACAUUUAUGGAGGCUAAAUGCUAAUAAUGAUCAAGCAUGUGACGCCAAAACUCCGUUGUAUGCAGAAAUGAAUAUUAUUGCUGGAAGAAACCGAAGAUACUCAGUCACUAGUGAAUUCACAUAGUAUUUUGCUUGCAACCUUGUAAAACAACUACAGUAAAAUUGGCUUAUUAGUUAUCAGUAUGCAAACAAGGGAAACCAUAUUAUAGUAACUAAGAUCAGAUGUGAUUUUCCUCGAUUACCUAUAAUUGUAUAUCUUAACUGAAAAGAUUCGUCGAGAUGUUGAUGUUGAAAAGUACAAGAUCCUGUUGGGGUUUUCCUCCAACACCUUAAGAUUUAGAUGAAUUGGUUACUGUAUAUGGUAGCAGAGCUUGGUAUAUGUCUGGUCAUUUUUGUUCAAUUCCUUUAACACCUUAAGUUUUAGAUGGGCCGGUUACGUCCAUAUAGUCAUAAUCAACCACUUACACGCAGCCCAACCUCUACCUAAUAAUUAUAAAAAGGAUUGGAUUGUGAACGGUAGAGUAACACCAGGAAACAAAUACUGUUCUACCCAAAAAUCUAAAAAACCCAGAUAAAAUGUAAAAAAAUAAAAAUCAAACUGAUUACUUAAGAAACAGGGGAUGAAAUUAUAGGGGUAACUAUGGACUUACUUGUUGCAGCUUGAGUUGCAGUGCAAUUGAUAUAAUGAGGCCUGUCUGGACAGAAACAGAGAAACUGGUCAUGUUCAAUAUCGAAUCCGCAACUCCCCUGAGUUAACUUGCAUGCUGUACAAUCAGUAGCCCUCCAAUUCAAAACAAACCCCCUUCUCAUCACUGUCGAAUAAUUCGAACCAGUCACAAUUUGUUCAUCAUCUAUUACAGCUGCCUCGGCCCUCGUCUCACAAGCUUCAGUCCCCAACUUUAAGUUUCGAUCGUUCCCUUCCAUUACCAGAUAAUUAAUACCAUCGCAACCAACCUUGUAUCUGUCUAACCUUGCUUCAUUACUAGAAUUACAAUCCCAUAACAACACAAGUCUUGAAUCGUUGGCGUACUCAAAAUGAUCACUGCGCACACUCAAGUUGCGCGCAAUCUCUCGUACAGCGCCGCAGCUUCCCUCGUUUGAUCUGAGAGCCGCGUUGGAAACACGGAGAGAUCGAUUGUCGUAGAAUAUCUCAUCAACCAACAAAGCCUCAUUAUAGUCCGGUAUUCUAAUUAGUGGCUCUGUAUUGUUUACGCAAGUUAUGUUGAACCCCGGGGAUCCACAGUAAGCUUCUUGCGUCCCCACGAUAAAGAACGGGAAGCUUAUCCUCAAGCUUCCGCAGUUUCUUGGGACGCAGGCUUCGUAUUGUUGAUCUACGCAGCAACAUCUGUUGAAAAAUAAGGAGAUAACGGUGAUGAGUAUGCCUACAUGUAUUUGACAAUGAUAAACUUCUCUCAUUUUGUUUUUUUCUGGAGGAUCUUGAUCAGCUUGUUCAAGAUAUAUCGUUGAUUUGUAGGAAAAGAAAGAUUAGAGAGAUGAGAGGAUUGAAAGAGAGAAGAAUUUGAUUUUUUUUUUAUUGGUGCUAGUCCAAAGCUGUGCUUGUGUCUGAGGACGUGCUAGGUGUGACGGACCAUAAUUUUGAUGAGCACAUUGUAUAUGUAUGUAUGUAUUGUUUAAAAAAUAAUAUUAUCUUAGCAAAAUUAAAAAAUGUUAUAUUAGUUUUAAUGAUAAAGUAAUUUAUAAUUUUUAAAUAAAAUUAAUAAAAAAUAUAUUUAAUAAGAGUAUUAAUCUAUUUGAUUAGUAAUUUAGACUACUAAUUUUAAUAAUUAAAUACAACGGUCAACACUAGUUUUCGUUUAGACAACGUGUACAUUGUAUUAUUUUUAAAAAUUUAAUUUUUGGAUAUCUAUUUUAUUUUAAAUUAGGUUUCUAUUUAAUGUUUAUAUAUUCAAUGAAAAAAUUAAAUUAGAAUUAAAUAGUCAAUUAGUUGAAAUUUUACAUCAAAAUCUAAUAAAUUUUACAUCUAAAUUAGUUUUUGUAUGAUUAUAUUUUUUUUUAUAAUUAUUAUAUCUUACUAUUAGCCGUGAAAGGAAUUGGAAUGAUGAGUAAACAUUUGUGAUGGCUCAUGAAUGAAAAAUAAAAGAGUCUAUGAAUUUGAAGCGUUUGUAUGGUGGAGAGAAUUGUGAAUUAUUUAUUUGAUGAGGAAGGGAUCGAGAUGAAGAGUGAUAAGGAAAGGAUCGAAAUGAUUAUACUGAUGGGUUCGAAAAAUAUUGGCGAGGUCUAAAGAGUUUAGUAUGCAUUAUGCAGGAGAUGUGUACAGAUAAAGCUGAGAAUCAACUGAGUCUACGAAGUCAAGUAUGUUCUACAGAGAAGCAAGAGUGAAUAGCAAAGAGAUGCAAACAUUUUCAGAAGCUAAUAAAAGCCUGGGGGCCGCGGCAGUGAAGACUUCGUAGUAGACUAAAAUAUUAAAGUUCAACGCAAGGCAAGUGUCAGGAAUUUUCAUCCAUAAGAUGUGGAAAAUAUGAUGCGGCAGCGGUGAAGACUCGGUACUAGACUAAAAUACUAAAAUUCAACGCAAGGCAAGUGUCAAUGAAUUUUCAUCCAUAAAGUGUGGAAAAUAUGAUGCAAGGACCUUGUCAAAAGCUAUGGUCAUUUAUGCUAUAUAUUAUCAAGCUCUGAAAAAAAAAAUAUUAAGCAAAGUUCUUUGAAUAAGCUCCGACGAAUAAAUCUAAAGAAAACUCUUUUUAUUUUUGAAUAAAAGUUUAAAACUUGCUUAGUGCCUGUUUGGGAACAGGUAUUUCUAGCUUUUUCUCAUAUAAGUCAGUUUUUACUCUCUUGACUCGUUUGUGUAAAACACCAGAAACACUUGUAAAAAACUAAGAAUGCUAGCCUUCGUUUGAGAACUUCCGCUUUUGUCCAAGACAAUUUAAUCACUUAUAAGUCUUAGUUUACAUCCCUCACUUUUAGCGGUGUUUGGAUCCGAGAAACACCGGCUUCUUUUAAGGAUAAGCCCACUUCAGAAGUCCAAAACCUGUUUGGAUAAAAAAACUAGAGAGCUUUUUUAGGAUAAAAAAGCUGGAAGUGAGAAGUUCAGUUUUCUUACUUCCUGUUUCUACUUAUCACUUUCUUCACUUUCUUAUCAUCAGCGACUCACCGAAAAAUCUAACCAGUUCACACUCUCUUGUGUCGACCUAGCUUCACUCUACAGGAUUUUCAAUACUAAAAUAAACGGAAAAAAAAAAUAAUUUUUCACUAUAUCGACGCACUUCCAAGAAAUAACUAACUAAUUUUAUCUAUUAUCAAUAAAAAAGUUUUUGGAAAAUAUCUUAUAAUACCAAACAUGGCACAAAUUUAUAAGUAAAAAAAAACUUAUAAGUUAAAGUUACCAAACACUUUAACAACUUCAAAAUUUUACUUAUACUUAUCACUUUUAUUCCACUCCUUUAAUUUAGGUAAUAAGUCACUUAUUUUAAGUUUGUACAAACGGUUAGUCUACUUCUUUACAUUAAACAAAAAACACUUAUUUAAACUUGCCCAAACAGCUCCUUUAAACUCUCCGGUUAGUAUGAGUAAUAAUUUUAACAAUAUUUUUUAUGAUCGUCUACGAUAAAAUUAAUAUCAUUUAAAAGUAUAAUCUAUCAAAUUCAUUUUUACUAUCAAUAUCUUUUCAUUAUUGUUAAGUUUUCAUGAAUACAAAUGAUCUAAGCACAUAAUAUUUCCUUUGCUUUUAUCCCUUAAAACAUUUUACUUCAUUAUUUCAAGUCCCUCUCAAUAUCUGACUAUCAUCCAGAUGAAGUGCGUUCUGUUCUUGAAGAAGAGCAAACCACUAGUUCUCUUUGAGAACUCGACGGAGAACUCGGAACAGAACACAAGUAUGGACUUGGUGGGAUCUCCAGAGCUGCAGUUCUCCCUUCCAACAUUUCAAUCACCUUGCUCAUUGAUGGCCUUUGUGAUGGAUAUAUUUGUAUGCACCAUAGCCCGACAAUCACCAUUUUCCUCACAAUUUCAUUUUCAGCAGAUAUAUCAUUCGCCAAAUUUAGCGCAUCAUCUGAUUUGAUUCGUUUGUAUAGCCAACGCGGAUAAUAUAUCUCGCUAGUUUGAUCUGCAUCGGCAUUAACAUUCUUUCGUCCACCAACCAUUUCAAGAAUCAUCAUUCCAUAGCUGUAGACAUCAGAUUUGUGGGAAACUUUUCCAAAAUUUCUGCUAGUAACUUCGGGUGCAAUAUAUCCAAUGGUCCCUCUAGCUUGCAACAAUGACGAGAUUAUACUUUCGUCAGUGUUGUACAACUUGGCAAGGCCAAAAUCGGAAAUUUUAGGGCUGAAAUUUUUGUCAAGAAGGAUGUUAUGUGGCUUUAUGUCGAAAUGCAGAAUACGGGUGCUGCAGCCUCGGUGCAAAUACUCGAGUCCUCGUGCAAUUCCAAUUGCUAUGCUGUAUAGUUUCUCCCAUCCAAGACGUUGUGCUUUCAACAACGGAGUUUUGCCAUGAAUGAACUUUUCGAGAGAUCCAUUAGGCAUGUACUCGUAUAUCAGAGCUCGUCUUUUAGGCUCGUAACAGAAUCCGAGCAGAGUGACGAUGUUAACAUGAGAUGUCCUGCCAAUGCUUGCAACUUCAUUUAUGAAUUCUUCUCCGUUUCCUUUUGCUUCUUUCAAGACCUUUACUGCUACAACACGACCAUCUGCUAAGCGGCCUUUGUAUACAUUUCCAUAACCUCCUUUGCCUAAUUCAUUUUUGAAAGAAUCCGUUAUUUUUGUUAGAGUGGAGUACCUAAAUCUUUCAGGGAUUAAGGAUCCAUAUUGCCUAAUGAAGGCCUCGACGUCUUUAGGAAAAGAAGAUGCAUAUCGAGGAAACAGAGAUAAACCAUAUACAAUUUUCCUCCGGCGAGAAUAGGUGAUGAGAAUCACUAAAAGAAGUAUACUGCAUACUAUAGUAGUUGCUGCGGAAAGAAAUUCAAAAACACAUAAGCUGCAACUUCAUCAUGCAUAUUUAAUGGUAGAUAUAUGAUAAAAAUGUUAAAGAAUGAGCAUACUACCUAUAACAAUCUUGAGUACCAAAUUCUUUUGUUUUCCUGUCAACAGGGAAAGUUAAGUCAGCAUUUGAAUGCGAAAUAUCAGUUUGCAAUAAAUGAAAUUUUGUCAAGCAUCAAGGUUUAAAAUAAUUUGAAUUCCAAAUAUCACUAUAAUGAAUCGUGAUCAUCCACUUUCUCAAUUGAUUAGAAAUUAUUACUCCCUCCGUCCCGAUGAGAUGUAUACGUUCACUGUUUGCACGCAUUUCGACUUAAAUGACUUAAAUGACGGAUUUGAGACCGUUUUGAGUUCGGUGACCAACUUGAUAUAUCCGACUCACUUUGGUCACUCACUUGAUUAUUAACCCUGGAACAAAGUGACUACAAAGAAAAAGAGAAAUGAAUGGGGCCAAACCUGGUCGUCCAUAUCCAUAUGGAGGGAGAUUAGUUCCGUUGCUAUAAAGGCAUGUGUUGUCAAUACUAUUUGUGCCUCUCCAACACAAUCCUUCAGUUGCCUUGCAGUCGGAGCAUGCUCCUUCGUUAAUUCUAUUGUAGUGUACUUCGAAGCUCCUCUUGAAAAGUGCUUCCGGCUCUAUUCUAUUGCUUUUUAACUCCUCAAACGCCGUCUUAUCAACUUGAAGUGUUGUGUUAGUGCAGGACUCAAGCUUGUCUUCCACCAAAUCAAAUGAAUUUCCUAGAAAGAAAUAAACUCGCUUCUUACUGUUACUCUGACAAGUGAAUGUAUAGUCGACCCAGACUGAAUCAAAAUCAUCGGCACAAUUGUAGAAUAAGCUGAGAUCUUCAGUAUAAUCUGUGUAAUCAUAUAGUGUUGCAUUCAAUAUGGUACUAGUAGCCUCACCAGAUGCACAAAUACUCCCCAACGGAUCAUCAGAACGAUUUAACGUUAACACACCUGUUGCCGAAUUAAAGUCAACUACAUGAUACUUGCUACGUGAACCAAUAUCUACAACAAGAUCAUUGUUUUCACAAUGGAGUUCAAAUCCAUCAAGACCGCAAUAAUCAGGUCGAAAACUUUCUCCCCAGAAAGGGUAUAGAGGGUUCUUGAAUGUCGUAUCACCGCAUCCAAUAGCAGUAGUGUUACUACAGUCCGAGUAGUAAUUAUAAUGACCAAAUUGAGCAAGACAAGUUGGGAAGUUGAUGAGUAAAACAUGAAAUGAGAUGAUAAAACUGAUGGGGUUUAAACAAUACCGGAGAGGUUUAAGAAGCUGAGCACACAUGAUGCAAGAGUUUUCGAAACUAACACCGAAGAACAAGCGAAUAUAUUUGAAAUGACAGGCUUGUCUUCUGUAAAAGGGAAGAAUGAGUCCUGGCAAGCAUUUGAAAAAGCUUAUUCAUGAAGAAACUGAGUGGAGUUGAAUGGUACUGUACUGAAGACUGAAGUUCCAAGUUCUGAAGACUGAAGUUCCAAGUUCAUUUUAAGGCCAGGCAAAUUUUUCAUCCUUCAAAAAUUUGGGCCAUGACCUUGUCAAAGCCUAUUUCUCGUGUAUUUAAUAAUACAAAGCAGACAACGACAGUUUAAGAAUUUUGUUGCUGCGGGUCAAAGACGAUUAGGGACUUGGGGUGUGUUUCAGUUUAGAUAUUUGUUGAGUUCAGAGCAUUCACAGCCGGCCCCCAAUCCUCAACUCCAAAAACUUACUAAAAAUAGUAAUCCCUCAAAAAUUUUUACAAACUUUUAAAAAUUUCUUCCAUCCCAUUCCCUAUAUUCAAUCCCUAUUCCCCAUAAAAGUAUAAGAUAGCACAUGAAAUUAAUAAAAUAAUAAUGAAAUGGAAGAUGAAUAGUGUAUGGGGGAUGAAUAGUGUAACCCCAAAUAUGGGGAUUUAUUUCUAAUCCCCAAAACCAAACCCUAUUUUGGGGUUCCGGAUGUAGAGUACAUUUUGGCAAAAGUUAGUAGAUUUCUUUAAAUUAUGGGGUUGGGGUUGGCUUUGGGGAAUGGGAUGAGAAUGCUCUUAGGUAUGAAACAUUUUUAAGCAUUUAUAUUAUACUAGUUUAUAACCCGUGCUUGGCACGGGAUUAUAUGAAUUUUUUAAUUUAUUACUUAUUAGAAAUAUAAUAUUUUUGAUAUAGUUAUUUAAAUUAUUAUUGUUGAGAUAUAAAACUUAUUAUGCAUUAACAUAUUAGUAAUAUUUAAUUAUGUUUAAGUUUUAUUUUUCAAAAUAAAUAUUCUCAGGAUACAUGUUCUUAUAUGAAUCUAUUUUAAAAUGGUACCUUUUAUUUUAUUAAAAUCAUUAUGUUGUUUAUGAUUCUAGAUAGAUGGGGAAAAAAUUCAACACCAGCAUAUAUAGUGCCCGUUUGGAUACCACAAAGAAGUGCUUCUUUUCUCAAUAAGCCAACUACUAAUUUUCUUGACCCGUUUGUGUUAAAAGUCGAGAAUCACUUAUAAAAAGUUGGGAAUGAUAGCUUUUCUUUCAAAACUUCUACUUCUUUCCCAAACACUUUAAUCACUUAUAAGUUUUAAAUUGCUUCUCACUUCUUCUUCAAUUUUUUUACUUUAAUCAAGAAGCAUUUAUUUUAAACUCAGCCAAACGACCCCAUAAAUUGGCUGUGAGUGUAUUCAAUCUUUAAUAAAACUCAAUUUUAGUUCAUAAUUGUUUUAGACGUCUAAUAAAUAUUAUUAAGUGCAACGCUAAUUGAAGUUCUUGUAAAUUUAAUAUUGAUGGAUAUUUGUCAAAUUAAUAUAAAACUAUAACAGAGUUUAUAAAUUAAAUGAAUUUAAAAUUAAUUUAUUUAUAAAUUUUUUUGACAAAAUCUUGUAAACCUCUUUUUAUGACUAUAACCAGAGAAUUCACAGUAAUUUUAUUCUCAUUGGAAUUUGCGUUUGUCAUGGUAGUGCUACCACCCCCUUUCCGUUAUUAUAAUAAUAUUAUAAUAUUGUGAAGAGUAGGACAAUGUUAAAUUACAUGAUAAUAACCAAAUUUUGAUAGUUCGGUAUUUGGUAUUGAUGUUCUUCCACUAAAGAAAAAUUUCGCAUAUUAAUAAAAAGUAUAUGUAUGAAUAAUAUCGAUUUGGCUAUUAAUAUCAGUAUAAACCUUUAUUUAUUUGAAUGCUGAAAUAUGAUAGGAGUUUUACAGAGUUGUUUCAUAAAUUAAAUUAUUUGAGUUCAAAGAAAUUAAAAUAAAUAAUUUUAUUGGUGGUAUAACUGUUGCAUUACAAAAUCCUAACAACGUUAGAAGUCUCUUUUUAAUAGUAUAACAUUAAAGUCUUUAAUUAUAAAAUCCAAAUCAAUAUCAAAGUCUAAUAAUUAUAAAAUUCUAACCAAUAUUAAAGUCUUUAUAUAUAAAAUCAUAAUAAAUAUGAAAAUCUUUUCAUAAUAAUAUAAUAAAAUUAUAAAAUCCCAACCAAUACGACGUUUUUUUCAUAAUAGUUUAAUGAUCAUCACUAUUAAGUAAAAAGUUUAUAAUGAUUAUAAAAUCCUAAUAACUAUAGAAGUCGUCUUUAAUUAUAAUAUCUUAAAAUAUUAUAAAUUCUUGACCAAUAUAAGUCUUCUAAUGAUAAUAUAAUACUUUUAAUAGGAGUAUAAUAAUAAUAAUAAUAAUAAUAAUAAUAAUAAUAAUAAUAAUAAUAAUAAUAAUUAUAAUAAUAAUAAUAAUUAAAUAUGAUAUAAGAUGACCAACUUUUGGUACUUUUGGUACCGAUGUUCCACUGAAACGUGAUUUCGCUUAUUAAUAAGGGGUAUUGAUUAAGAUUGUACCCGCUACCGUGAAUUUAAAUUUUUUUAAAAAAAUUCCACAAAAUUAGUUAUAUUUUCACUAUAAUUUAUUAUUAAUAAUAUUUGUCAUUAAUUGAACUACGUAUAUUUUAUAUAAAUACUCCUAUUUUUUUCUUGAAUAUUGCUUAUGAUUUUACGAAGUGAAUGCUAAUAUCAUGUUGUCAUUACUAAAUAUACGGUAUAUCAUCAUAUAAGAAAAAGUAAGAGACAUUAGCAAGGAAGUUAUGAUUUUUGUUAAAAUAUAUUAUUUACAAAUUAAAAAAAAUGAAAAUAUUGAAUUUACGUUUUUUUAUAAUAAAGAUGAAUUUGUUUAAUCCUUAAAUCAUUUUAUAAUAAAAAUGAAAAUUUUAAUCCUUAAAUUUUUAUGUGGUAAAAAUUUAAAUAUAUGUUAAAUGUAGACUAAUGUAGUAGGUGAAAUCAAUGUUUAAAAUUAAUUGAAUAAUGAACUAUAAGUUCAAAGCAAAGCAUCAAAAGUUGUGGAAUAUUUUUUUUUUAGUUUAACUUUAAACAUAUGAUUUUGGUUAUAGGACAUAUAAAAUGAAAUAAUAUAAUUUAAUCAUUAGAAAUAUCUUCUUAAAACAGUGAUGUUGAAAAACUUUGACUUCUAUUACCAUAUUAAUCUUGGAAGCCGUGAUGCAGAGGUAUAAAUAUUUUUUUAGCUUGCUUGGCCAUAAAUGUUUAUAGUUUUUAUGUAUAUCAGCGGUGAGUGAUCAGAGUGAGUUUACUCUCUUCAUAUUUAGGUAAGAGGUAAUCUCUUAACUCUCUCAUUUUCUCUAUUUUCAAACAGCAUAGAGUAUGUAAUCUUGUUGAAAAGUUUAAUGUCCUUCAAUCUAUUGCGACAACAAUGGUUAUCUUGUAAUUUCGUAUAUUUGGUUUUAGGUAUGGCUUAUGAUCUGAAGUUUCCUGUUGAGUUCUUGAAAGCUGCAAUAUGUGUGCCGAAUGGUAGCCUCCCGCAGAAAUUGGUACUCGAUUAUCUUCUUUUCUCUUAUUUUACCAUAUUUAUUUUUUUAAUAAGCCCAAUGGUUUCUUCGUUGUCAGUUUCUUCCCCGUCGAUUUGUUGAUCGAUUUGGGGAUUUGUUGCCGGAGAUUGUAAAUGUUGAGACAAUGGAUGGGGAUAGUUUUCCAAUCAAGUUCUCAGGAGACGAUGGGUCUUUCUUUGACAUGCAUGCUCUUUUGACAAAGUUGCUCCCUAAAGAAUGUCAUUUUCAAGUGUUUCUGUUAGAUGGGGAUUAUGAUUUGCAUGGGAUAUCUGGUAUGUGGUUUUAACUGGUUUAAUAUGUCCUAAGAGCAAGUCCAAUAGGUUACCUAUCCUAUUCCUUAUAAAUAAUAUAAAAUAAUCUAUUUUUAGUGUCAACUCCAAUAGUAAUCCAUAUAUUUGUUCUCUUAAGAUUAUUUUAAUAAUAAAUUUGAGAGAGAAGGGGAAAAAGGAGAGAAUAGACAAAGAAAGAAGGAGAGAUGAUUAUUUUAUUCAUAAAUAUUAAAUAGGUAAUGGCUAGGGGUUACUUAUAAAUAAGUAAUGACUAGGAGAAUUAAGGUUGUGUUAGUGAUUUAGGAUAACACUAGGAUAGUGUUGGAGUAUAUUUUUUUGACACAUUACCUAAAUGUGAGUUUAGCACAUCAUAUAGGUAACCUAUUGGACUUGCUCUAAAUCUAUAUAUUGUAAUGAAUAUUUUUUGUUUCAGUAAUGCCCUCUUCUUUUCAGUGCAUGUUUAUUAGAAUUUUUGUCUGGUAAUUUUUUUUUAAUAAUUUAGUUAUAUGAACACAUUUUUUCUGUUAUUAUUUUUGAAAAACUUCUAAAAUCUUAAUAUCCCAUGGCAGAGGUUGUCUGAAGAUUUUCUUUUAAAGUAUGGGUUUCAAAUUCCUAGUCAAAUAAGAUUCCAACUGAGUGACGGAAGUUUGUUGGGGGGAAUUUUUGAUAAUGGCCAAUGGGAAUGGUACCAUAACUGGACUGCAAAAAGUUUGUAAGUUCUAUAACUUGUCCAGAUUUGAGUCCAUCGUCUUCAUAUAUGUUUAAAAAUUAAAAAGGUGGCCAUCACCGCUUGAAGGAUUUGCCCAGUUUAUGUGCACGGCCAACUUUUGCUAACAUGUAAGUUUGUGGGUCAGAAUGCUAGGUACUUGGGCAUUUAUCAUUGUGGUUGCUCUGAGAGCACCUCGAGUGCAGGACUGCAGGCCGCUUCAUGCUUUGAGACCUGUGUAAUGGAAGUGCCCAAGUGAGUUUGCGUUGGAGCAAAUUAAACGAAAUGGUCUGGGACCUCUUUGGCGGCACCGCAACACUUUCACCAUAAUGUCCUUCUUGCAAGUUUAAUACUCCCUCCGUUUUAAUUUACAUGUCCACUUUCAAAAAAAUAUUUUGUUUCAAAUUAGUUGUCCACUUCAACUUUCAAUGCAAAAUCAUAUUUCCAAAGUCAAUUCAAGUGGACAACUAAUUUGAAACAAAAUAUUUUUUUGAAAAUGGACAUCUAAUUUGAAACGGAGGGAGUAUUCAGUAAUCGACAACCAAAUGAAAUGAGCUGUGCUAAAUGAUCCUAGCAUUGGUGAUGCUCUAGGAGAUUCUAUUAAUGAGGUAGACAGCCUCGGUGCAAGUACUCUAUGCCUCUUGCAAUCCCAAUUGCAAUGUUGAACGGUUCAUUCCAUCCCAGAUGUUAUUCUUCUAAAAAUGGGUUUGUACCAUAAAUGAAUUUUUCUACAGAUCCAUCAGGCAUGAACUCGUAUAUAAGAAUUCAUUGUUUAUCCUCGUAACAAAAGCCCAGAAGAGUGACAAUAUUAACAUGAGAAGUCCUGCCCAUGCUUGCGACUUCAUUUAUUAAUUCUUGUCCAUUUCCUUUCUGUGCAUUCAAGACCUUUACUGCCACACCCCGGCCAUCCAUAAGCUGCCUCGAAAUACAGUUCCGUAAUCACCUUUACCUGAUUCAUCUUUAAAUAAAUUGUUAUUUUUUUAAUUGUACGUAGAGACCUAAAUCUUGUGGGAAUUGAGGAUUCAUAUUGCACUAUGAAAGCAUCAACAUCUUGGGGAUAAGAAGAUACAUUUCGAGAAAACAAAGAUGAACCAUGUUUAGAUUUCUUCCAGUAGCAGUAGAUGAUGAGAACCAAUAGCAGGAGUAUAGCACCACCUGAUACACCACAGCUGCAGAGUGCAGAUAGAAAGUAUAAGAUACCUGAAGCUACACCAUUUUACCAUACACCCUAAAGAAAACACGAAAUAUAUAGUUAAAGAUAAUGUUUAGGGAAGCUAAUACGAAAUAUAUUGUAUCUGGAAUCCAACUAUUACUAGGUUCACAAAUAUUAUCCAGAGGAUUAUUGUUAUGAUACAACUCCAACACUUUUGCUAACUGAUUGAUUUUAACUACACCAUACUUGUUAUCUAAACCAAAAUCUACAAAAAGAUCACCAUCAUCACAGUGGAGCUUAACUUCUCCUAGUCCACAAUCUUGAGGUCGAAUUUCAAGUCCCCAGAAAGGGAAUUCAAUUCCCUCACAGAUUUGCCGCAGGCAUAAGUAUUUUUUUUUAUUUGAAGGCCUUGUACAUUUUAGAAUCAUCUGGCGUUAUGUCCACGGUUAAUGAACAAUAACAAAAGGAUUGAGAGGGUAAUACUGACGGAGUUUGAAAAAUAUUGGUGAGGUCUAAAGAGUUUAGCAUACAUUUUAUGCAGAAGUUUAGAAAAUUUAUAUCGAGAGAAGAGUAAGAGGCAGAGAAAAAUGCAGGCAUUUGCAAAGGCUAAACUAAUAUGAGUGCACCCGGAUGUUCAAGUGAUUCAGGAGAAUCAACUAUCAAGGUUCGAUUCUCCAACAUGAAAACCAUUUCAUUUGAUUCCACUGACCGAACUUGUAAGUUGUUCCAUAUUACCAUAUAUAACUUUAUGGUAACUCCACAACGCGCAUCGACCACAAAGACAACUAAAGAAUAUAUUCGUAAACUGUGUUCAAGUAUUUUCUGGAAUAACAUUCUGCGCCAUUUUUAGUUCUUUUGUUGCUCAAUUAAUACUACUAAUUACAAGAAACUGCAUACUGAUGACAAUAGAUAUUCUAUACAAUCAUUUGAAAGAAAGUUGCACUCAAAUUCCGGAAAUUCACAACAAUAAGGUGAAUUAUCUAGGCAAAAACUGAAACUCUUUGUCAUACAUUUAUCUAGGCUAAUAAUGAUCAAGCAUCUGGCAACAAUACUCCGUUGUAGGCAGAAAUGAAUAUUAUUGCUGGAAGAAACCGAAAAUAUGUUAGGAAUAAUAUACGAGAUCAAUCUUCUAAUACAAAGCACACACACAAAAUUAUAUGACGCGGAAAAUCCACGUCCCAACUUGUAUUAUUAAUUAAAACCGUAAUCAAUAAUACAAUCCAACAAACUAGGAUACUCAAGCCUAACAAUACUCAAGCAUACCUAUCAAACAAUAUGACUAUGUAUAUAUAGCCAUCAAACUUAGACAAAUCAGAAUCUAACUCUAAUAUACCUAAUCAUAAUCCUAAUCCAAUCCUAAUUUCUAACUCAAAUUAGAAUCCUAUUCCUAUUGGGUUGAUACCCAACAAAAUACUCAGUCACUAGUGAAUCCACAUAGUAUUUUGCUUGCACUGACAUAACCUUCUAAAACAACAACGGUAAAAAUGGCUUAUUAGUUAUCGGUAUGCACACAAGGGAAACUAUAUUAUAGUAACUAAGAUCAGAUGUGAUUAUCCUCGAUUAUUUAUAGUUGUUCAAGUUAUGGCGCUGCUUCGGCCUUCAUAUCUUAUCUGAAAAGAUUCGUCGAGAUGUAGAUGUUGAAGAGUACAAGAUCCUCUUCGGGUUUUCCUCUAACACCUUAAGAUUUAGAUGAAUUGAUUAAUUAUAUGGUAGCAGAUAUGUCUGGUAAUGUUUGUUCAAUUCCUCUAACACCUUAAGUUCUAGAUGAGUCGGUUACGUCCAUAUAGUUAUAAUCAUUUUUUUUUUUGAUUUACGGGAUUAGUUUAUGGUUUAGUCAAGUAUUUAUCAUAUGAGAAAUUCUAGCUGUUUUUGCUAUGUUUUAAGGAAAUAAGCUGUCUGGCAACUGAUGAAUUGCAUUAGCAAGGAAUAUAUUUAUAGGAAAACAAAAAAAUGCAUUCAUCAUUUAUCGGUAGUCUUGAGCUUGAUCACUCUGUCUUGAGUUAGAGUACUAAUGAGAUGUCACAGAGCUUGGGUUCUCAUUAAAAUUGAUAGAAGAGAUGACUAAUAUGGUGAACAAUUUUUGAUAAAUCUAGCAUUCUUUUGGGGUUGGCUGAAAAUCUGUGGCUUCUAAGUACUGAGAAUAUAAUUGGCCUGUCCACUACAUAAUGUUUUCAUAGACCUGGACAUGCAUUUUCUUUCAAGCCUCCCCACGCCUUGUUUUGAUUCCUUCAAGUUCUCAGUGUCCUCUGUUUCCUCUUUUUUUAUUCGAAGGCUGAUGUCGAAUUUAGGUAUAGGCACAAACUAACUUGGAAAACGAACUAUGAACAAGAUUGAAUCAGAUUGCAAGGUAAGAAAGAUGUUUAUGGAAGUGGCAGAGUUGGCAUUUGGGUGUGAUGACAGGGUAAGUUUAUCUAUGUGGGAAGAAUAUACAUCAAUGAAGGAAGUUCGAAGCGAAAAUUAUGAGAAGAAGAUUCUAUGUCUUGGUUGUUGAAGAACUAUCCCUGAAUAAUAUAAACCAGUUUUAGCUAGUAACCGUGAAAUGGGUUGACAAAUAUUAAUAGUACAUGAUAUUUUAUACAUUUUGUUUUUGUACCUUCAAAGUUUACCCUAAAAUUAUAUAAGAGCAUGUUGUGCUCUUUAGACUAUAGUAUGUAUUUCAUAUUGAGGAAAGGUUCUUGCCUUAACCAUCAUGCAGAUAAAGUGGGUUCUGUUCCUGAAGAAGAGCAGAACACUGGUUUUUCUGGAGAAUUUGAUGGAGAACCCGGAACUGAACAUAAGUAUGGACGUGGUGGGAUCUCCAAAGCUGCUGUCUGCCCUUCCAACAUUUCAAUCACCUUGCUUAUCGAUGGCCUUUGUGAUGGAUAGAUUUGUAUGCACCAGAGUCCGACCAUCACCAUUUUCCUAACAAGUUCAUUUUCUUCUGCAGAAAUUUCAUUUGCCAUAUUUAGCACAUCAUCAAAUUGGAGUCGCUUGUAGAGCCAACGUGGAUAAUAUAUCUGACUAGUAUGAUCUGCACUGGCAUUAACAUUCUUUCUCCCUCCAACCAUUUCAAGAAUCAUCAUUCCAUAGCUGUACACAUCAGAUUUAUGGGACACUUGUCCGAAAUUUCUACUAAUAACUUCGGGAGCAAUAUAACCAAUGGUUCCUCUAGCUUGCAGUAAAGAUGAGACUGCACUUUCGUUUGUGGUGUAUAAUUUUGCAAGCCCAAAAUCAGAUAUCUUUGGGCAAAAAUCUUUGUCAAGAAGAAUGUUAUGUGGCUUUAUAUCAAAAUGCAGGAUACGAGUGUUGCAGCCUCGGUGUAGGUAUUCUAGUCCCCGGGCAAUACCUAUUGCAAUCCUCAACAAUUUCUCCCAUCCAAGAUGUUGUCCAUCCAACAAAGGGUUUGUACCAU
rnacentral:lncRNA from 1 species